rnacentral:lncRNA from 1 species
AGAGUCUUCUGAAACUCACAUUGGAGAAACAGCCAUAUGAGGGAUUUGGAGAUGAGGAAUGGGGUUUCUUCAAUAUUCAGGCAAGAGUAAGUACCACAAUGCUUAUGCAAUAAAGCUUCAGUUUGAGGUGAGGGUCAGUUUGAGGUGAGGGCUAGGCAGGGCUGACAUUCAGCCAACACAUGUGUAUCAAUAUAGGUUGUUGAAAAUAUUAAACUGCUUUUCCUCCAGGCUGGUAAAUGGCACUACCCUGAACCACCCAAGGCCCCUUCCCCUGGACUCCAGGACCUCCUCGACAUCCUUGCAUAAAAACAUUAAUUUCUGGCAUUAUUUUGAUAAUCACCCCUGGAGCUAGGGGACUUGGCUUGAGGAUACUUUUGCAUAGCAUUUUACUUAACAUUGAAAAACACAACAGUUUUAUCAAUAAAUGGGUUGCAGAAUGUAAAAGCAAACAGACCAACCGCUACACUCUGGCCUCAGAUAUUCCUCAAGCUAGAUCCUUCUGGGGAACUAACUCUUUUCCUGCUGAGUCACUGUGGCUGCAGCCCUGCCCUUCCAUGUGACUGUGUCAUUUGGCAUUAUGGUUCCUCCUGAGCCCAAGGGAACUACAAAGGUCUGUAUCAGGACACUGGGCAUUGCCACUGUGCUAGGUGCACACACCUGACUGAUCGUCUUGUGGGCUCCCGCAUUUCCUGUUGCUCCAGGCAUCAGAUAUAUCCCUGGGAUCCCUCCAUUAGCUUGGCAAUGCUAUGGAAGUUGCCAGAAAAAGAAUCCUAAGGAAUUGGUUCUUGGCAAAUCCUAAGGAAUUUGGCUCAGGCAUUUGUCUUCCUAAUGAACUGGUGGGGAGGUAGCUGUGUUGGUACAUCAUCUCCAAGGCAGGAUCCUGCCCUCUGAAGCUUGAGUGGCUCCCAAAGUCUCAAGCCCACUGUGCUGAUUUGAGCAUUUGGCUCAGCCUUUUCUGGUCAUCACCAACGUUCACCUGGCCAUGCUGAUGGCAGCACGCAUGGAUCUGGCCAUUCCCACAGCCUGGUCACCCCAUGGUGGCCCUUGAUUGAGCUUGCCAUGGCACGGAAGGGGGCCUCUCCUACUCACCGAUCUCCUUAUUGAGGUUUAUGAGCAGGAACCAUUGCUUAAGAAAUACUCACCAUCAAGCAGAAUCAUGAGGGACAGAGCACCAUGAACUCAGGGAGCAAAGAGAACACUGUGGGGGUAUUCUUAGGGAUGGAAUCUCCACAUCAAAUCUAUUGGCAAGACCUGGAUGUUCUUGGAAAUGUGAAACAUUGAAAAUGUUGAACAUUAAUCUUCUCCUCAUCUCCAGUAUCAACACCCAACUGAGGCCACCAUCAUUUCUUGGGUUUGGGUGGACAAUUGCAACAGCCACCUAUGACUGCUGUGACUUUGUCUAUGACUCCAGUUAAUCCAUCCUCCACUCCACCGCCUGAAUGAUCUCUUCAAAAUUCACAGUAGGUAAUGACACCCCAGUGGAAAAUGCUGAUUGCCUUCUACUUAGAAUAAAUCCCAAAUUCUUUACUGUGGCCUAUAAAACCCUCAGUGCAAUCCUCUCUGGAUGAGCUCAUCAUUUUUAAGUCUCAGGUUAAAUUAGCGGUUCUCAAAAGGGAGCAGUGUUGCCCUUUAAGAGACAUUUGGCAAUGUUGGGAGAUAUUUUUGGUUGUCAUAAGUGGAAGUCAGGGGGUGCUACUGGCAUCCAGCGGUCAGAGGCCAGGGAUGCUGUUGAACAUUCUGCAAUGCACAGAAUAGUCCCCUAUAGCAAAGAAUUGUCUGACCCAAAAUAUCAGAAGUGCCAAAGUUAAGAAAUCCUGACUUAAAAUCACUUUCCUGUAGUGACUUUAUCUGACCAUCUUUAUCUCAAAUUGGUUUCCAUCCCCUAUGCUCUUCAUACCUCUAACCACAAUUUGCAAUUCCCUUCUUAUUGUCAUUUACAUACAUGUAAGCUCCACAUACCGGGCUAUGGACAAAGUAUGUCUUGUCCAACUUUGUUGUCUCAACAUGUACCACUUAGCAGAUGCUCAAUAAAUAUUUGUAGGAAGAAGAAGGGCAGGAAGGGGGAAGGGCAAGAAGAAAAGGCAGUCAAGGUGAAGCAGCACCCCUGCCCUUCUGAGCCCCUUUCAGUAUCAUGCUGACUCUCAUCUUCAUGUGGAAAACCUGCCAUUUGACUGGGCCAGUUGCACUGAUUAUGUUUUACCGGAGAAUGAGCCGAGUGGACUAGGAAAACACUUUAAAACUCAGUUGUGGGGCAGGGUAGGGGGUGGGGGCAUUGGCAUGAAAAUGUUUAGAUUUCUUCAGUAUUGACUUUGUUUUGUCAAACAAGUCCUCUUGAGGGUAGGGACCAUGUCUAGUUCAGUCUCCGCUGUAGCUCCAGCACCUUGCAUAGUGCGUAGUGCAGACAUAGUGGGUUUCCCAAAAGUGUUUGUGAAUAUGUGAGUACCCCCCCAGCCUGCAGGGGAGGGAGGGUUGAUACCCCACUGCACCCACUUCUUCAGCAGCUCAUAAACCCACUUAUGAAGCCAACCUUCAGGUCAGACUCUUGCUUUUCUUCUUAUUAGUGGCCCUUAAAAGAGCAUUGCCAAUAAAAACUUCAGCUCUGGAAAAGAAUUCUGGCCUUUGUCAGCUAUUUCCGACAGCCCUUGAAAGAAAAAUAAAUUUGGCUCCAAGUUUUCCCAUGCCUGUUUAUAGUUCCUCACACAAAGCUCUGCCGUUUAUACAAUUUUGUCACCCAGAGACCCAGCUAACUCUAUCUCAGAGGCAGCCUCUCCCGUCCCCACCUCAGCAGCCUCCACUCCAACUUCCUCCUCCCCACUUAGGGCUUCCAAGGACCCAUGAGGAUAAGCUGCAGGCUGUGAGGUUUCUAUAGUACACUCCUUCCUGGAAUGACUCUGCCUAAAUUUCACCUUUAAGCCUCAGAGAUUCAUGUUAUCUUAUUAGCAACACAAAAUGGAAAAGACUGAACCCUUUCAGUUUAAUCUGCUGAGUUUCUGAGGCUGCAGGGAACUCCUCCAAGGAAUGUGCUUAGCUUUUGUUAGAGGAAGUUAAAAAAAAAAAAGGCCCAACAUAUUAUUUGGCAUAAAUCUACUCAUCUAAUUUAGAUUGUAGAAACCUAUUGAUUAGGUUCCCAAGCCUGUCACUUUUUCCCUAUAGCGACUACAAAUAUCACUGCCAUUGGGAAAUUUCACAUCAUAAAACUCACUACUAUGAUCCCACUUUCAUAUUUUCCCUCUCUCUCUCCAUCUUUUCCUUUCUCACGCACACAAAAUCUGUUCUUUGGUCUCAUCAGCGCCAUCUGGUGGUGUUUCAAAUGUUUCAGUACCCUUUAAAAAAAAAAAAAAAAGAUUGAAGACCCCAAAGAGCACCUGAGUAUGUGUCAUAUCUAUCACAGUUAUCCUAUUCAAAAAUGAAACUGGCCAGGCACGGUGGCUGACGCCUGUAAUCCCAGCAUUUUUGGGAGGCCAAGGUGGGCGGAUCACUUGAGGUCAGGAGUUCCAGACCAACCUGGCCAACAUGGUGAAACCCUGUCUCUCCUAAAAAUACAAAAAUUAGUGGGGCACGGUGGCAGGCACCUGUAAUCCCAGCUAUUCGGGAGGCUGAGGCAGGAGAAUCAAUGGAUGUCAUAUAAUGAAAUGAUGUCAUAUAAUGAAAUGUGUCAACAUUGAAGAUCUGUAUAACUCAAGGAAGCAAUAUUUCCCAAAUGGCCGUGAAUGAGAUUACAAAAUCAUGCAUUCAAAAUGCAUUCAAUCCAGGAGAAUCGCCGGAACCCAGGAGGCAGAAGUUGCAGUGAGCUGAUAUUGUGCCACUAUACUCCAGCCUGGGCGACAGAGCAAGACUCCAUCUCUAAAAAGAAAAAAAGAAAAAUGAAACUGAAAACUUUUGGAAAACAUUUAUUGAUCCAUUUAAAAAUAACAGUAAUAAAUGUUUAACAUAAAUAACAAAUUUUAAUAAAAAAAUCUGUAUUUUCCAAAACAAAAACAAAUUUAGGAAGAGUGGCAUUAUUUUACAUUUUUGCACAUCUCUUUAAUGUCUGACUUAAAAGACACCUAAAUUUUCAUAUCUGCUUCUGUGUUCAAUCUGUUCCAAUAUCUUGUUUUAGUUGAAACAUAUGAAGAAAAUCUGGCCUCACACAGAUAUGUAGUUGGAAAAGAAGUGAGUAUUUUAAUAGCCUUUUAAGAUCAUUGUGGGUAUUCUUCUUUGAUAUUAUUCCAAAACUCCACAAGUUAUGGUUUCUUAAAAGUUAGCUGGAAUGGAGAAUCUGAAACCACAUCCAUGAACUUUUGGUACUGUUAUGUUAAAACCUGCUGUUCUAUCUUCGACUUUGAAUGCAUUUUUGCAUGCAUGAUUUUGUAAUCUCAUUCACUGCCAUUUGGGAAAUAUUGCUUCCUCGAGUUAUACAGAUCUUCAGUGUUGACACAUUUCAUUAUAUGACAUCAAAAAAUCACAUUGACUGAUACUGUUACCAAUUUCCUAAAAAAGUCUUUAGGUACCAAGAAACUGCCAAAGCCAGGUAUGGUGAGGGCUCAUGCCUGUAAUCCCAGCAGGGGAGGCUGAGGCAGGUGGAUUUCUUGACUCCAGGAGUUCCAGACCAGCUUAGCAAGAUCCCGUCUCUACCAAAAAAAAAAAAAGAAGUAGAAAAGAAAAAGAAAAAUUAGUCGGGUGUGGUGGCGUGUGCCUGCA